UGAGCCGACCAGUAUAAAUGGUGGUGGUGCGGCGACAUGAACUGCUGCGGACACCGGCGCAAGGAAUCGAUGCGAGCAAACUAUUGCAGGCGGCGAAGCCAGGUGUGCCGAUGAUGUUCCGAUUGUUAUAAGCUGUCAUUACUCUCUAGCGCCUAUCUGCCUGUGUCCAAGCAUUAUGAACCGUGAUCAACCGUACUCCAGUGGCGGCUGCUGCCUAUCGCACGAGCCCUGUCUUGUAAGUGAUCUGCGGCGCUGCUGCUAUCAUCAAUCACCUCGGCUGCCUUUCUCGGUGGAACCUGCCCUUCCUCAUCUUUUGCUCGCAACUGGAAUGACAUCGCCUGCCAACAUCCCCUGCCUUCGGACGAAGAAACCAUCUCAGCCUCAAGCCCGCCACUUCUAACCCCAAUCGUGCUUUCCGCCUGGCCACAGCGAGCAACUUACUGCGUGGGAGACUCGCUACUUGUACUUCAGCAGUCUCCGUCUUGGGACCACUUGGGGCACGCCACCGCACCGAGCAUGGUCAUGACGACGACUUUGUUUGCGCAGCUUUUCACCGGCUGGGGUGUUUUCCUGGAGUAUACUAUGAAGGCCUUCCUGGAUGCAUCACCGCUCGCAUGUCAUCACGCCCUGAUGUUCCUGCAUGCGUGCGAUGACGGCCCUAUCUCCGCCCUGGAAGAUAGUCAUGGUCUGUUCGCGGCAUUCGACAAGAUACUGACCUCUGCCAUUGCUGACGUCAACCGAGAUGGCCCGCUAAUCCAGUCACGAAGCUGGCUCCAUUCAGUAUAAAAGCCAAGAUGAAGCUUCAUCGCUUCAGUGGGCAAGGCAGCAGCAAUACUGGCCAAAUGUUCAAACGUUGUCUCUUCUUCAUGCAGGUAUGUUAACUUAAGGACGCUUGUUGUAUUCGAUCUGACAACCGCUUCUUAUUGCUGACGCCUUGCCCACACAAAUGCCUUUCUACAUGUAUUUCUGUAUGUGCUGAUCUUGUUUACUGCAUGAGCAGCCUCCUACUGAGUCCGGGCCCUACAAAACGCUCCGUCACUCAAACGGAUGAUUCUGGCUCUAUAGUAUCCAAAAUGUUCGCUCAGCUUCUUGCCGGGCAAACUAAGAUAACAAAGGAUAUAGCAGACAUGCGAAAAUCUAUCGACGCUCGAUUUAAGGCCAUUGAAAAAUGCAUAGUUGAUCUUGAACUGCAGGCACCCACCUUUAGCACAGCACACUACGAUAACCUAAAGAGCCAAAUUCAGAAAAUGUCAUCCACCCUUGACACUUUCUUCCCAAAAUGAUGAUUUAGCAAAUCGCUCGUGCCACAACAACCUUAUUCUUUAUGGUCCAACAGAAUCUGAGCAUGACACUAAUGAAUCGCUGCAAUCGCAAGUUAAAAAUUUUUUUACUGACGUAUUAAAGCUUGAUUUUCCUCAAAUUGA